CAGGGCCCGAGACAACGCUGCUGACGCACUACUGUACUCACAUGCACCUCUAUACACAACAAACAACGAUAUCCGUCAGAGAAUAACUAAUAAUAAUUAAUGUUGAAUAUGAAUAAUGAAUAAUGUUAUAGGAUUAUUCCUUAUUUCAUGGCAUAUUUUGGGAUUUAUA